AAUAGAGGCGCAGCCUUCAGGAGUACCGCUGGCGUGAAAGACCGGGCAAGGUCGUUUCCGGCGGGAAAGGGACGGCUGCCGAAGGAAGGGGAGCUGCACCCCUUUCCUGGGCAACGGGAGAAGAUCCCCUUGACUGUCGCGUUUCGCGGAGAGCUAU
rnacentral:ncRNA from 1 species